GUUCAGAUUUUUCUCUGAAAAUUUGCCUAGGACUGUCUCUUUACUCAGACACUUCUCAGGGAGAGGGGCAUGGAGGUUCAACCAGUGUAUCCGAUCUGUGGCAUGGAGUAUGAGUCUGUGAAGCAUACUAUCCUGCGAUGCCCUAGGGCAAAGAUUAUUUGGAGACAGACGGGCAGUUUUCCAUAGGAGGCAAGUACGUACUGACCCCUAGUUGAUUUCUAUCUUUGGCUUG
rnacentral:lncRNA from 1 species